rnacentral:rRNA from 1 species
UAAUACAUGCAAGUCGAACGCGCAGCGAAAGGUGCUUGCACCUUUCAAGCGAGUGGCGAACGGGUGAGUAACACGUGGAUAACCUGCCUCAAGGCUGGGGAUAACAUUUGGAAACAGAUGCUAAUACCGAAUAAAACUUAGUAUCGCAUGAUACAAAGUUGAAAGGCGCUACGGCGUCACCUAGAGAUGGGUCCGCGGUGCAUUAGUUAGUUGGUGGGGUAAAGGCCUACCAAGACAAUGAUGCAUAGCCGAGUUGAGAGACUGAUCGGCCACAUUGGGACUGAGACACGGCCCAAACUCCUACGGGAGGCUGCAGUAGGGAAUCUUCCACAAUGGGCGAAAGCCUGAUGGAGCAACGCCGCGUGUGUGAUGAAGGCUUUAGGGUCGUAAAGCACUGUUGUAUGGGAAGAAAUGCUAGAAUAGGGAAUGAUUCUAGUUCGACGGUACCAUACCAGAAAGGGACGGCUAAAUACGUGCCAGCAGCCGCGGUAAUACGUAUGUCCCGAGCGUUAUCCGGAUUUAUUGGGCGUAAAGCGAGCGCAGACGGUUGAUUAAGUCUGAUGUGAAAGCCCGGAGCUCAACUCCGGAAUGGCAUUGGAAACUGGUUAACUUGAGUGUUGUAGAGGUAAGUGGAACUCCAUGUGUAGCGGUGGAAUGCGUAGAUAUAUGGAAGAACACCAGUGGCGAAGGCGGCUUACUGGACAACAACUGACGUGAGGCUCGAAAGUGUGGGUAGCAAACAGGAUUAGAUACCCAGGGUAGUC